ACAUAAAGUAGCUUUAGAUUUUAAUUUACAUAUCAACAGAACAGAGUAUCUCAAUGAAGUCGGUUCGUUUACAUUUAUAUUUGAUUUCACGAUUAAUACAGCUGUCAGGCCUAGUUAAACCGAACUGGAUGUGGAACCGAGGGGUUUUGUUUGAUAGCAGACUUCAACAACUGGAUCCUUUCGCAGGUUUGUUUUGUGGUGAAGUUAGGCAGCUAGUUAAAAUCGCUAAUACAACGCUCAGGCUAAGUUUGGAAAUCAAACAGGGAAAUCACGUAUUCUUUAUUACUGUCGGGCACACAUUUCACAUCCAACACGUUUAAGAACAUCAUUUUAAAAUUUAACAUGAAAGUAAUAGACAUUCAAUUAAAAUUUAGAGAUUAAAAACGAAUUAUUAC